UUCCUGUCUGAAUAUCUCAGUAUAAAAAACAGGCAAUCUCUGUUUUAGUUUUUCUUUAUUGCCAGAAACAAGCUGUUCUGGUAAACCAUACACUUUGCACACAAAAAUAGUCUAUUUAUUUAAAAAUGCAAUCAACACCCAUUAGUGCAGCUAUGAAUUAAGCACAGAGAUUGUGCUUUUUGUCAAGCUGUGAAGAGCCCAGUGAUCUUCGGUGCUGCAUGAAGCCUUCUAAUUGGCCGCGGCUGAGCCACCUCACACAUUCAGCUUGUUAAAUCUGAAAAGUCUGUCGCUGCCCUCAGGCCAUUUGUCUCUGGAAAUUUACAGGCCACAAACUCACAGACAUGGUUCAAAACAUUACUUCCGCUGACACAUUAGUACUAAAAUUGCUCUGUGUUCAGAAAUUGAGCAAACAAAUUUUAAGACAUGGAUACAAAGAUGCAAACACAAACACAGCAUUUACACAACACUGCUAGAGUUAUCAAUGAGGAUUGCUUUUUUAUUUAAACUUAGGAAGCUCAAGAACUGUGCUUGAUAUGUUUCUGACUAUUGCUUUCAUGAAAUGGAGAA